rnacentral:rRNA from 1 species
GAACGAAGCCUUCGGGCUUAGUGGCGCACGGGUGCGUAACUCGUGGGAAUCUGCCCCUGGGUUCGGAAUAACAGUUAGAAAUGACUGCUAAUACCGGAUGAUGACGUAAGUCCAAAGAUUUAUCGCCCAGGGGAUGAGCCCGCGUAGGAUUAGCUUGUUGGUGAGGUAAAAGCUCACCAAGGCGACGAUCCUUAGCUGGUCUGAGAGGAUGAUCAGCCACACUGGGACUGAGACACGGCCCAGACUCCUACGGGAGGCAGCAGUGGGGAAUAUUGGACAAUGGGCGAAAGCCUGAUCCAGCAAUGCCGCGUUGAGUGAUGAAGGCCUUAGGGUUGUAAAGCUCUUUGACCCGGGAUGAUAAUGACAGUACCGGGAGAAUAAGCUCCGGCUAACUCCGCG